AUUGCCUCAGUAACGGCGAGUGAAGCGGCAACAGCUCAAAUUUGAAAUCUGGCCCUAGGCCCGAGUUGUAAUUUGCAGAGGAUGUUUCUGGCGAGGUGCCUUCCGAGUUCCCUGGAACGGGACGCCAUAGAGGGUGAGAGCCCCGUACGGUUGGUCGCUAAGCCUCUGUGAAACUCCUUCGACGAGUCGAGUAGUUUGGGAAUGCUGCUCUAAAUGGGAGGUAUACGUCUUCUAAAGCUAAAUACCGGCUAGAGACCGAUAGCGCACAAGUAGAGUGAUCGAAAGAUGAAAAGCACUUUGAAAAGAGGGUUAAAUAGUACGUGAAAUUGUUGAAAGGGAAGCGCUUAUGACCAGACUUGGGCCGGUUGAUCAUCCAUCGUUCUCGGUGGUGCACUCUGCCGGCUCAGGCCAGCAUCAGUUUGGCCCGGGGGAUAAAGGUUUCGGGAAUGUGGCUCUCUCCGGGGAGUGUUAUAGCCCGUUGCGUAAUACCCUGGGCUGGACUGAGGUACGCGUUCUGCAAGGAUGCUGGCGUAAUGGUCAUCAGUGACCCGUCUUGAAACACGGACCAAGGAGUCGUCUUCGUAUGCGAGUGUUCGGGUGUCAAACCCCUACGCGUAAUGAAAGUGAACGUAGGAGAGAGCUUCGGCGCAUCUCCGACCGAUCCUGAUGUUCUCGGAUGGAUUUGAGUAAGAGCAUACGGGGCCGGACCCGAAAGAAGGUGAACUAUGCCUGUAUAGGGUGAAGCCAGAGGAAACUCUGGUGGAGGCUCGCAGCGGGUUCUGACGUGCAAAUCGAUCGUCAAAAUAUGGGCAUGGGGGC
rnacentral:rRNA from 1 species